rnacentral:rRNA from 1 species
AUUGAACGCUGGCGGAAUGCUUUACACAUGCAAGUCGAACGGCAGCACGGACUUCGGUCUGGUGGCGAGUGGCGAACGGGUGAGUAAUGUAUCGGAACGUGCCCAGUCGUGGGGGAUAACGUAGUGAAAAUUACGCUAAUACCGCAUACGAUCUAUGGAUGAAAGCGGGGGAUCGCAAGACCUCGCGCGAUUGGAGCGGCCGAUAUCAGAUUAGGUAGUUGGUGGGGUAAAGGCCCACCAAGCCAACGAUCUGUAGCUGGUCUGAGAGGACGACCAGCCACAAUGGAACUGAGACACGGUCCAGACUCCUACGGGAGGCAGCAGUGGGGAAUUUUGGACAAUGGGGGCAACCCUGAUCCAGCCAUGCCGCGUGAGUGAAGAAGGCCUUCGGGUUGUAAAGCUCUUUCGGCCGGGAAGAAAUCGCACGGGCUAAUACCCUGUGUGGAUGACGGUACCGGAAUAAGAAGCACCGGCUAACUACGUGCCAGCCGCCGCAGUAA